rnacentral:rRNA from 1 species
CUGCCAGUAGUCAUAUGCUUGUCUCAAAGACUAAGCCAUGCAUGUACAAGUUCACACCUUAAUAUGGUGAAACCGCGAAUGGCUCAUUAAAUCAGCUAUGGUUCCUUAGAUCUUACAUCCUUACUUGGAUAACUGUGGUAAUUCUAGAGCUAAUACAUGCCAAAAUAUCUUGACUUAAUCGUCAAGGUGGAUUUAUUAGAACAAAACCAACCAGUGCUCGCACUGUUUGUUUGUUGACUCUGGAUAACUUUUCUGAUCGUAUGGCCUCGUGCCAACGACGAAUCUUUCAAGUGUCUGACCUAUCAGCUUUCGAUGGUAGGUUAUAUGCCUACCAUGGCUAUGACGGGUAACGGGGAAUCAGGGUUCGAUUCCGGAGAGGAAGCCUUAGAAACGGCUACCACAUCUAAGGAAGGCAGCAGGCGCGCAAAUUGCCCACUCUCAGACCGAGGAGGCAGUGACGAAAAAUAAUGAUGCAGGACUCACAUGAGGCUCUGUAAUCAGAAUGAGUACAAUUUAAAUCCUUUAACGAGGAUCUAUUGGAGGGCAAGUCUGGUGCCAGCAGCCGCGGUAACUCCAGCUCCAAUAGCGUAUAUUAAUGCUGCUGCGUUUAAAAAGCUCGUAGUUGGAUUUCAGGUUUGGGACUUGCUGUCAGUACUCAAUACUGUUCGGCUCGUUCCGCCUAAUCAGCUGACUGUUACCAUUUGUGCUGUUUGUUCAGUGCUUUUGGUACUCAGCACGUUUACUUUGAAAAAAUUAGAGUGCUCAAAGCAGGCCUUGUGCUUGAAUACUGUUGCAUGGAAUAAUGAAAUAGGACUUCGGUUCUAUUUUGUUGGUUUUCGGAAUUGAAGUAAUGAUAAAAAGAGACAGACGGGGGCAUCUGAAUGGCACCGGGAGAGGUGAAAUUCGUUGAUCGGUGCCAGUCAAACUACUGCGAAAGCAUUUGCCAAGGAUGUUUUCAUUAAUCAAGAACGAAAGUCAGAGGUUCGAAGACGAUCAGAUACCGUCCUAGUUCUGACCAUAAACGAUGCCAACUGACAAUCAGGGUUUAUUAUAUUUUUUCACCCUGGCAGUCCCUGGGAAACCUUUAAGUCUAUCGGUUCCGGGGGGAGUAUGGUUGCAAAGCCGAAACUUAAAGGAAUUGACGGAAGGGCACCACCAGGUGUGGAGCCUGCGGCUUAAUUUGACUCAACACGGGGAAACUCACCCGGCCCGGACACUGUAAGGAUUGACAGAUUGAUAGCUCUUUCAUGAUUCAGUGGUUGGUGGUGCAUGGCCGUUCUUAGUUGGUGGAGUGAUUUGUCUGGUUAAUUCCGAUAACGAACGAGACUCUGGCCUGCUAAAUAGUGAACACAUAUUAUUGUGUGCUUCACUUCUUAGAGGGAUUCGCUGCUUAUAGUGGCAAGAAAAAGAGCAAUAACAGGUCUGUGAUGCCCUUAGAUGUCCGGGGCUGCACGUGUUCUACACUGACGAUAUCAAUGAGUUUCUUCCUGAGCCGAGAGGUUUGGGGAAUCUUUUGAAUUAUCGUCAUGUCAGGGAUUGGGGCUUGUAAUUAUUCCCCAUGAACGAGGAAUACCCAGUAAGCACAUGUCAUCAGCAUGUGUUGAUUACGUCCCUGCCCUUUGUACACACCGCCCGUCGCUACUACCGAUUGAAUGGUUUAGUGAGGCUUUUGGAUCGGAAUUGAUGAGAUGGCUUGCCAUUUCGUCGACUCUGAAAAGAUAGUCAAACUUGAUCAUUUAGAGGAAGUAAAAGUCGUAACAAGGUUUCCGUAGGUGAACCUGCAGAUGGAUCAA